AGAGCGAACGCUGGCGGCAGGCUUAACACAUGCAAGUCGAGCGCCCCGCAAGGGGAGCGGCAGACGGGAGAGUAACACGUGGGAACGUACCUUUCGGUUCGGAACAACCCAGGGAAACUUGGGCUAAUACCGGAUACGUCCGUAAGGAGAAAGAUUUAUCGCCGAAAGAUCGGCCCGCGUCUGAUUAGCUAGUUGGUGAGGUAACGGCUCACCAAGGCGACGAUCAGUAGCUGGUCUGAGAGGAUGAUCAGCCUCACUGGGACUGAGACACGGCCCAGACUCCUACGGGAGGCAGCAGUGGGGAAUAUUGGACAAUGGGCGCAAGCCUGAUCCAGCCAUGCCGCGUGGGUGAUGAAGGCCCUAGGGUUGUAAAGCCCUUUCGGGCGGGGAAGAUAAUGACGGUACCCGCAGAAGAAGCCCCGGCUAACUUCGCGCCAGCAGCCGC
rnacentral:rRNA from 1 species